GACGAACGCUGGCGGCGUGCCUAAUACAUGCCAGUCGAGCGGACGGAUGGGAGCUUGCUCCCAGACCGUCAGCGGCGGACGGGUGAGUAACCCGUGGGCAACCUGCCUGUAAGACUGGGAUAACUCCGGGAAACCGGGGCUAAUCCCGGAUAACUCUUUCCCUCACAUGAGGGAAAGCUGAAAGAUGGCAUCUCGCUAUCACUUACAGAUGGGCCCGCGGCGCAUUAGCUAGUUGGUGAGGUAACGGCUCACCAAGGCGACGAUGCGUAGCCGACCUGAGAGGGUGAUCGGCCACACUGGGACUGAGACACGGCCCAGACUCCUACGGGAGGCAGCAGUAGGGAAUCUUCCGCAAUGGACGAAAGUCUGACGGAGCAACGCCGCGUGAGUGAUGAAGGUUUUCGGAUCGUAAAACUCUGUUGUCAGGGAAGAACAAGUACCGGAGUAACUGCCGGUACCUUGACGGUACCUGACCAGAAAGCCACGGCUAACUACGUG
rnacentral:rRNA from 1 species